AUGACCAGCACGCAACGGAGCGAGAGUGCGAAUCAUCUCCUCAAAAAGUUCAUCAGCAGAUCAUCCCCAAUGCACUUGUUUGUUAAGCAGUACAACAAAUUGCUUGAUUCCAGGAGCCAGGCAGAAGACGAGGCAAAUUAUGUCAGCAAGCAGGUAUAA
rnacentral:rRNA from 1 species